AGUGAACGCUGGCGGUAGGCCUAACACAUGCAAGUCGAACGGCAGCACAGGAGAGCUUGCUCUCUGGGUGGCGAGUGGCGGACGGGUGAGGAAUACAUCGGAAUCUACCUUUUCGUGGGGGAUAACGUAGGGAAACUUACGCUAAUACCGCAUACGACCUUCGGGUGAAAGCAGGGGACCUUCGGGCCUUGCGCGGAUAGAUGAGCCGAUGUCGGAUUAGCUAGUUGGCGGGGUAAAGGCCCACCAAGGCGACGAUCCGUAGCUGGUCUGAGAGGAUGAUCAGCCACACUGGAACUGAGACACGGUCCAGACUCCUACGGGAGGCAGCAGUGGGGAAUAUUGGACAAUGGGCGCAAGCCUGAUCCAGCCAUACCGCGUGGGUGAAGAAGGCCUUCGGGUUGUAAAGCCCUUUUGUUGGGAAAGAAAAGCAACCAGUUAAUACCUGGUUGUUCUGACGGUACCCAAAGAAUAAGCACCGGCUAACUUCGUGCCAGCCGCCGCAGUAACAC
rnacentral:rRNA from 1 species